rnacentral:rRNA from 1 species
AUUGAACGCUGGCGGCAUGCCUUACACAUGCAAGUCGAACGGUAGGGGGAGCAAUCCCCUGAGAGUGGCGAACGGGUGAGUAAAGCAUUGGAACGUGCCCAGUUGUGGGGGAUAACUACUCGAAAGAGUGGCUAAUACCGCAUACGACCUGAGGGUGAAAGAGGGGGACCGAAAGGCCUCGCGCAGUUGGAGCGGCCGAUGUCAGAUUAGCUAGUUGGGGGGGUAAAGGCCCACCAAGGCGACGAUCUGUAGCUGGUCUGAGAGGACGACCAGCCACACUGGGACUGAGACACGGCCCAGACUCCUACGGGAGGCAGCAGUGGGGAAUUUUGGACAAUGGGCGCAAGCCUGAUCCAGCCAUGCCGCGUGCAGGAAGAAGGCCUUCGGGUUGUAAACUGCUUUUGUCAGGGAAGAAAUCCCUUGGGUUAAUACCUCGGGGGGAUGACGGUACCUGAAGAAUAAGCACCGGCUAACUACGUGCCAGCAGCCGCCGUAA